UUCUUGAAAAUAAAAAAAGUUGGCGGUAUUUUAGUCUUUUCAGAGGAACCUGUCCUAUAAUUGAUGAUCCACGUUUUGAUGGACUUAUUUUUUAAAUUUAUAUAUCGCUGUAGAUUGAAUAUUUUGAAAGAAGUAUAAUGUUCAAAAUUUUUUUGGGAGAAAGAAAAUCAGGUCAAGAUGUAGUUUAUAAAUAAGAAGAGAUGGGUUACAAUAGAAAUAUUUACUAUGGAUUUAUUUUUUUAAAGAAUAAUGAAAGUGGAUUUGAAGGUAAUUAGAAAAAAAUCUUUUUGAUGAUUAAGCUCUAAAGUAUGUACAUAUCGCCCGUCACUUUCAUAUAAAAUGAAAUAAGUCGUAACAUAGUAGAUGUACUGGAAAGUGUCUCUAGAAAGGUCAAAUUAAAGCUUUAUAAAGCAUUUUAUUUACAUUAAAAAGAUUAUUAUGAUUAAUAUAGUUUGAAAAUAAAAUAUUAUUUUAUUUAAAAAAUUUUGUAUUUAUUUUAGUAAAAAUAUUUUUUGGUUAUAUUAGUGUGUAUGAAUUAAUUUUAUGUAUUCGAGGAUAUAAAUAAUUAUAGAUAAUUUGUAUUGUGAAAGAUUUAUUUAUUUUAAGAAAAAGAAGAAUUAAAUUUUUGUACCUUGUGUCUCAGGGUUUAUUAAAUAAAGAUUAAGAAUUUAAUUUUCUCGAAUUUAAAAGAGUUAUAAAUAUAUAUAUAUUAUUGUUGAAUAAAUAUUUAAAAUAUAUUUAUAGAAGUGAAAUGCUAUCCGAUUUUAAAUAUAUCUAGUUUUUUAAGAAAUAAAUUUAAUUUAUUAUUUAUUAAUUAUUAAAUUAAUUUUUUAAUUUAAUGGUUUAUAAAUUUUUAUAUCUUAAGGGAUAAGCUUUUAGAUAAAAUUAUAUAAUUAAUAUAUAUAUAUAUAUAUAUAAUAAGUAGGAUUAAAAGUUUUUAUCUUUAAGAGUGUUUAAUAACUAUUUAUUUUUUUAUAAAGAUUUUUAUUUAAUUUAUGUAUUUUAUUAAAAUAUAAUUUUUAAUUUAUAAAAUUUAGAAAGAAUGAUAAAAUUAGUAUAAUUAUAAAUAUAAAUUUUAAUUAAAAUUUUAAGAUUAAGUAAAGGAAUUCGGCAAAAUAAUUUUUCACCUGUUUAAUAAAAACAUGGCUUUUUGAUAAUAAUUUAAGGUCUAGCCUGCCCAAUGAGUUUUAAAUGGCCGCAGUAUUUUAACUGUGCAAAGGUAGCAUAAUCAUUAGUUUUUUAAUUGAAAGCUGGAAUGAAAGGUUGGAUGAGAAAAUUACUGUCUCUAUUUAAAUUAUUAGAAUUUUAUUUUUAAGUGAAAAAGCUUAAAUAUUUAUAGAAGACGAGAAGACCCUAUAGAGUUUUAUAAAAUUUUAAUAAAAUUGUAUUUAGGAUUUUA
rnacentral:rRNA from 1 species